rnacentral:rRNA from 1 species
UAAACAUUGAUACAUUAUUACAUUUUCAAUCCGCCCGGGUACUACAAGCACCAGCUUAAAACCCAAAGGACUUGGCGGUGCUUAAGAUCCCCCUAGAGGAGCCUGUUCUAGAACCGAUAAUCCACGUUGAACCUCACCCUCUCUUGUUUUUCCCGCCUAUAUACCGCCGUCGUCAGCUUACCCUGUGAAGGUCUAACAGUGAGCAAAAAUGGCACAGCCCAGAACGUCAGGUCGAGGUGUAGCGCAUGAGAGGGGAAGAAAUGGGCUACAUUCUCUAAAAAUAGAAGCACACGGACAAUAUAUUGAAACAUAUAUUUUAAGGAGGAUUUAGUAGUAAGUAGAAAUUAGAAUAUUCCACUGAAUUCGGCCCUAAAGCGCGC